AAGCUCGUAGUUGAAUUUCGGGGUUAGUAGGUUGGUCAUGCCUCUGGUAUGUACUGGUCUCACUGAUUCCUCCUUCCUUAUGAACCGUAAUGCCAUUAAUUUGGUGUUGCGGGGAAUUUGGACUGUUACCUUGAAAAAAUUAGAGUGUUUAAAGCAAGCUAACGCUUGAAUACAUUAGCAUGGAAUAAUGAAAUAGGACGUUCGAUCUUAUUUUGUUGGUUUUCUUAGGAUUGACGUAAUGAUUAAUAGGGAUAGUUGGG
rnacentral:rRNA from 1 species